GGAACCCAAAUCUCAACUAACACAAACAAGAUGAUAACUGUUGAAGAAGCACUUGAGAUUGUGCUAAAUGUGGCUCAGCGUUUGCCGCCUGUGACUUUGCCUAUUCAUGAGGUUUUAGGCAAAGUUUUGGCUGAGGAUAUCACUGCGCCUGACCCUCUUCCUCCAUAUCCGGCAUCUAUAAAGGACGGGUAUGCUGUUGUUGCCGCUGAUGGACCUGGUGAAUAUCCUGUAAUUACUGAAUCAAGAGCAGGAAAUGAUGCACUUGGUGUGACGGUUACUCCUGGGACUGUUGCAUAUGUAACUACUGGAGGUCCAGUGCCUGAUGGUGCUGAUGCUGUUGUUCAAGUAGAGGACACUGAAUCAAUUUCAGUUGCUUCAGCUGAACGGAAGCGAGUGCGAAUAUUGAAGCAAACUAGCCCUGGAGUUGAUAUUCGUGCAGUGGGUUCUGACAUUGCACAGGGUACUAUCGUACUGAAAUCUGGAGAGCGAUUAGGUGCUGCAGAAAUUGGUCUACUCGCUACAGUAGGUGUUGUCGCAGUGAAGGUGUAUCCCUGUCCAACAAUUGGUGUCUUGUCAACAGGGGAUGAGCUUGUAGAACCAACAGUUGGGAGUUUAAAUCGUGGUCAGAUCAGGGACUCCAACCGUGCAAUGAUCCUAACUGCUGCAACACAGCAUCAGUGCAAAGUUAUUGAUCUUGGUAUAGCUCGUGAUGAUGAGCAGGAGAUUGAGAGGAUAUUAGACAAUGCAUUUGCUUCUGGAAUUGACAUCCUUCUCUCCUCUGGAGGUGUUUCCAUGGGAGACCGGGAUUUUGUGAAGCCUUUACUUCAAAAGAAAGGGAGAGUAUUAUUUCAGAAGGUUCUCAUGAAACCAGGAAAGCCUCUCACAUUUGCUGAGAUCCUUCCCGGAUCAUCUGACAGGACUUCCAGUAAGAUUCUUGCAUUUGGGCUACCUGGAAAUCCUGUGAGCUGUUUGGUCUGUUUCCAUCUCUUUGUGGUUCCAGCCAUUAAGCACCUCUCUGGGUGGGCAAACCCACAUCUUCCAAGAGUGCAAGCUCGUCUAAAGCAUUCAGUAAAGACAGAUCCUCACCGUUUAGAAUUCCAUCGAGCUGUUAUCUCCUGGCAGUUGAAUGAUGGGUCGGGUUAUCAAGGGUUCAUAGCUGAGAGUACAGGCCAUCAAAUUAGUAGUCGACUUCUGAGUAUGAAGUCAGCCAAUGCUUUGUUAGAGCUUCCAGCUUCAGAAACUUCAGUACCUGCUGGUGCUUCAGUGUCUGCAAUUCUAAUUUCUGAUAUAAGCAAUUUCCCUGGGACCAGGAACCUGCAAUUGACAGACUUAAGUAGCACCCAACAAGAACAUAAGCUAGCAGCUGCAGAUGCUGGCAGUUCUGAAGCAUCUGAAUUCAAGGUAGCUAUUCUUACAGUAAGUGAUACUGUUGCCACAGGAUUGGGACCUGAUCGCAGUGGUCCAAGGGCA
rnacentral:misc_RNA from 1 species